rnacentral:rRNA from 1 species
UAGCCAUGGGCAGGUUCAAGGUUGGGUAACACUAACUGGAGGACCGAACCGACUAAUGUUGAAAAAUUAGCGGAUGACUUGUGGCUGGGGGUGAAAGGCCAAUCAAACCGGGAGAUAGCUGGUUCUCCCCGAAAUCUAUUUAGGUAGAGCCUUGAGCGGACACCUUCGGGGGUAGAGCACUGUUUCGGCUAGGGGUCCAUCCCGGAUUACCAACCCGAUGCAAACUACGAAUACCGAAGAGUGAUACUCAGGAGACACACGGCGGGUGCUAACGUCCGUCGUGGAGAGGGAAACAACCCAGACCGCCAGCUAAGGUCCCAAAGUCUAUAUUAAGUGGGAAACGAAGUGGGAAGGCUUAGACAGCUAGGAUGUUGGCUUAGAAGCAGCCAUCAUUUAAAGAAAGCGUAAUAGCUCACUAGUCGAGUCGGCCUGCGCGGAAGAUGUAACGGGGCUCAAAUAUAGCACCGAAGCUGCGGCAUCAGACGUAAGUCUGUUGGGUAGGGGAGCGUUCUGUAAGCGGAUGAAGGUGAAUCGAGAGGUUUGCUGGACGUAUCAGAAGUGCGAAUGCUGACAUAAGUAACGAUAAAACGGGUGAAAAACCCGUUCGCCGGAAGACCAAGGGUUCCUGUCCAACGUUAAUCGGGGCAGGGUGAGUCGGCCCCUAAGGCGAGGCUGAAAAGCGUAGUCGAUGGGAAACGGGUUAAUAUUCCCGUACUUGGAUAAACUGCGAUGUGGGGACGGAGCAGGUUAGGUUAUCGCACUGUUGGAUAUGUGCGUUUAAGUUUGUAGGUGUGAAGUUUAGGCAAAUCCGGACUUCUAUAACACCGAGAGAUGAUGACGAGGCUCUACGGAGCUGAAGUAACCGAUACCACACUUCCAGGAAAAGCCACUAAGCUUCAGGUUUAUCUAAACCGUACUGAAAACCGACACAGGUGGUCAGGUAGAGAAUACUCAGGCGCUUGAGAGAACUCGGGUGAAGGAACUAGGCAAAAUAGCACCGUAACUUCGGGAGAAGGUGCGCCGGCGUAGAUUGUAGUCCCUUGCGGAUGAAGGUUGAACCGGUCGAAGAUACCAGCUGGCUGCAACUGUUUAUUAAAAACACAGCACUCUGCAAACACGAAAGUGGACGUAUAGGGUGUGAUGCCUGCCCGGUGCUGGAAGGUUAAUUGAUGGUGUAAUCGAAAGAGAAGCUCCUGAUCGAAGCCCCAGUAAACGGCGGCCGUAACUAUAACGGUCCUAAGGUAGCGAAAUUCCUUGUCGGGUAAGUUCCGACCUGCACGAAUGGCAUAAUGAUGGCCAGGCUGUCUCCACCCGAGACUCAGUGAAAUUGAAAUCGCCGUGAAGAUGCGGUGUACCCGCGGCUAGACGGAAAGACCCCGUGAACCUUUACUAUAGCUUGACACUGAACAUUGAAUUUUGAUGUGUAGGAUAGGUGGGAGACUUUGAAGUAGUCACGCCAGUGAUUAUGGAGUCGACCUUGAAAUACCACCCUUUAACGUUUGAUGUUCUAACGAAGAUUACGAAACGUGGUCUCGGACAGUGUCUGGUGGGUAGUUUGACUGGGGCGGUCUCCUCCCAAAGAGUAACGGAGGAGCACGAAGGUUUGCUAAUGACGGUCGGACAUCGUCAGGUUAGUGCAAUGGUAUAAGCAAGCUUAACUGCGAGACAGACAAGUCGAGCAGGUACGAAAGUAGGUCAUAGUGAUCCGGUGGUUCUGAAUGGAAGGGCCAUCGCUCAACGGAUAAAAGGUACUCCGGGGAUAACAGGCUGAUACCGCCCAAGAGUUCAUAUCGACGGCGGUGUUUGGCACCUCGAUGUCGGCUCAUCACAUCCUGGGGCUGAAGUAGGUCCCAAGGGUAUGGCUGUUCGCCAUUUAAAGUGGUACGCGAGCUGGGUUUAGAACGUCGUGAGACAGUUCGGUCCCUAUCUGCCGUGGGCGUUGGAGAAUUGAUUGGGGCUGCUCCUAGUACGAGAGGACCGGAGUGGACGCACCACUGGUGUUCCGGUUGUGUCGCCAGACGCAUUGCCGGGUAGCUAAGUGCGGAAGAGAUAAGUGCUGAAAGCAUCUAAGCACGAAACUUGCCAAGAGAUGAGUUCUCCCAGAUUUAAAAUCUGUAAGGGUUGU